rnacentral:lncRNA from 1 species
GUAGAGUAUGCUUGUGGUUAUUCUCUGAGGUUGAGGCAAGAAUGGUAUAUACAGAAAGACACAGUACAUUUUGCAGAGCUGUGUCACCUACCAAAUUAAAAAAAAAUGAAAGGAUGAAACAGUUGGAUGAAGAUUUCUUCUCUACUUUAAAAGAGUUUCAAAAUGAGGAUGUGUUCGGAUCUGACUGAGGGUGGGAGGCGCCGUCAUUUCCUGUGUAUUUGCAGUGUCCUG